CGGGUGUAGUUCAAUGGCAGAACGGCAGCUUCCCAAGCUGCAUACGAGGGUUCGACGAGCGCCAUGCCGG
rnacentral:tRNA from 1 species